AAGUAUAUUUAUUGAGCACUUACUGUGUGCCGAGCUCUGUACUAAGUGCUUGGGAGAGUCCAGAGCUCUCUGACUGCCUGCCUCCCUACCUCCCUGUCUACCAACUCUGUUCUCUCGGCCUCUCCCAAGCGCUCAGUACAGUGCUCUGCUCACAGGAAGCGCUCAAUAAAUACUAUCAAUGGAUUGAUUUUUCAGAGGGCUUCAUCCAGGCUUCUUAAACGUGAGGUCUUCGGCGGAGGAACGCGCGCCCUUUCUUGCGGACGGGGAUGAACCCUACCGUCUCUCACCACCUCCACGGUUUCCAGGGGAAACGUCGGAUUUCCUGAUUUCCCAAUUUCUCUUGGUGGCUGCCGCUGUUUGCCCAAGGAUAAUCCCCUACUUCUUGGAGAAACCAGCCUUGGGGGGCGUCGUGUCCCUGAACCGUGGAUAGUGGAUCUCGAAUUACUCGUUUCCUCCUUGCAAUAAAAACUGCGCGUUCUCUCCAA